UACGUAGGUGGCAAGCGUUAUCCGGAAUUAUUGGGCGUAAAGAGGGAGCAGGCGGCAGCAAGGGUCUGUGGUGAAAGCCUGAAGCUUAACUUCAGUAAGCCAUAGAAACCAGGCAGCUAGAGUGCAGGAGAGGAUCGUGGAAUUCCAUGUGUAGCGGUGAAAUGCGUAGAUAUAUGGAGGAACACCAGUGGCGAAGGCGACGAUCUGGCCUGCAACUGACGCUCAGUCCCGAAAGCGUGGGGAGCAAAUAGGAUUAGAUACCC
rnacentral:rRNA from 1 species